AAAUAAAAAGAUAUUCUAAUUUCGACUUAGAAGUAAUGAUUAUAUAAUCAUUUUAUUUA
rnacentral:tRNA from 1 species